CAUCCAGCAUGCACAAUUACAGUUCAGAUAAGUUGGGAACAUUUUACAAUAUAGUUAAGUUGAUUUUUUUUUCUAGCUCCCCAGUUUUGGCUAAUUACUUUUUACAAGUCAGUUGGCAAUUUGCUAUAACUCUAUCAUUAGCAAAUAAACCUAUUUAAAAUAUAAACUACCUCUUAAAUGGAAUGCAACAUUGCAUCAGUGUUAAUUUAUUGAUAUGUAGUUAGGUGUUUUUUCACUAUAAUUUCCUGACAAUUUUUCAAUGGCUAAAUCAUAAAACAAAACCAAAAGAGUUACCUAUGCAUUAUUCAAAAUGUCCAUGACUAUUUACAUAACAAAGGUUUUGGUGCCACUGCAAUGGUCAAGUCAUUGCAGUUGUACCAAACAAAUUAAUCCUAACUUGGGCACACAAGGGCAAGCUACUUCAUUGUAAUAAAAUUAAUAAAUAAAAAAGAAAUUAGUUUGGCUAAUUUUUAAAGAUGCAUAACAAUACCGACUUCUAUUUCAUUUGAGAGUUUACCAUUUAGGUGAAUACUGCAAGGUGCAUAGUUAGGUUAGGAAACAGUCUUUACAUUGACAGGUGAGCAAAACUUUAAUGGUCAUUGCAGUAGUUUAAAAAAAACACUGUUAUUUAAAUAGACAUAGAGAUUUGAGACAGUUAGAAAGUAACUUUUUGGGUUUUGUUUUUUAAACAUUUUGGCUGAUAAAUAUUAAUUUAGUGACACCCAAAAAAUGGUUUCCAGGAAUAAAGAUGUUUGUUGUAUUUAGCACAAUAUAAAACAAAUUAACC